AGAGAGAGUGAGCUCCGUCUGCUGCAACGGUCUGUGCAGUCUUAUGAAGAAGGAAGGCUGGAGGUCAGCCAGGAGAGCUGAUGGAGAUCUGGCCAGAUUUCUUAAAUCUUUAGAUUUCUCUUCACCAGUGUCAACACACUCACCUUCUUCUUACUGAUGAAAACAGUACAGAUGCUGUGCUACUUAAAGAAUUUCUGCCCUUUGGACGUCCUUGUGCUCAUUGCUCAGCUAUCAUCUCAAAUGGAAAGAAACUAGCACGUGAAGAUGUUAAGCAACUUGCCUAAGAGUGUGUAAAUCAGGAGUAGUGGAAUCAACAAAUAAGACCCAGGUCUU